rnacentral:rRNA from 1 species
AUUGAACGCUGGCAGCAGGCCAAACACAUGCAAGUCGAGCGAGCGGCGGACGGGUGAGUAAUGUAUGGGGACUGCCCGAUAGAGGGGGAGAAGUACUGGAAACGGUAGCUAAUACCGAAUAAUAUCGGAUAACCUAUAUGGGAUUAGCUAGUAGGUGGGGUAAUGGCUCACCUAGGCGACGAUCCCUAGCUGGUCUGAGAGGAUGAUCAGCCACACUGGGACUGAGACACGGCCCAGACUCCUACGGAGGCAGCAGUGGGGAAUAUUGCACAAUGGGCGCAAGCCUGAUGCAGCCAUGCCGCGUGUAUGAAGAAGGCCCUAGGGUUGUAAAGUACUUUCAGUCGGGAUGCGUUACCGACAGAAGAAGCACCGGCUAACUCCGUGCCAGCAGCCGCGGUAAUUC